GGAAAGUAGAAAAAACAACAAACGAAAAGGAAAACCUUUAAAGCUAGUUUAGGCCUCUCUCUUUCAUGCCACACCGCUAUCAAGUGUUCACUUCAAAUCUUCUUUGGCCAUAGAACUGACUGGCUGUCCUGGGCUGCAUACAGAACUUCUUCACGUGUGUCUGACUUUUAUGAGGUGGGGUUAGUCAGAGAUGGGCGCAUGCGUGACUGAGUCUGUGUGUGUGUGUGGUUAUGCGUGUGUUGGAGAGAAUGUGGUGUGAGCAACCAUGUGUCUGACCAAUCUAUAUGUGUUGUAAAAUGAAUCUGUGUGUGUGUAUAUGCGUGAGUGUGUAUGUGUGAGUGUGUGAGUGUAUAUGUGUGCGUGUGUGAGUGUGUGUGAGUGUGUGUGUAUGUGUGUGUGUGUAUGUGUGAGUGUGUAUGUAUGAGUGUAUAUGUGUGAGUGUGUAUAUGUGUGAGUGUGUAUAUGUGUACACAUCUGUGUUCCCCGGGGACGGCUCUAAAAAUACUCUGCUCCUCAAGCCUUGUGGUGUCUGUCUGCUCUCCAUCGUUGUCCCUGCAGCCCUCCUCCUCUCCUCUGCUCCUCAAGCCUUGUGGUGUCUGUCUGCUCUCCAUCGUUGUCCCUGCAGCCCUCCUCCUCUCCUCUGCUCCUCAAGCCUUGUGGUGUCUGUCUGCUCUCCAUCGUUGUCCCUGCAGCCCUCCUCCUCUCCUCUGCUCCUCAAGCCUUGUGGUGUCUGUCUGCUCUCCAUCGUUGUCCCUGCAGCCCUCCUCCUCUCCUCUGCUCCUCAAGCCUUGUGGUGUCUGUCUGCUCUCCAUCGUUGUCCCUGCAGCCCUCCUCCUCUCCUCUGCUCCUCAGCUCCCAUCCCGCCAUCCCUCAAUUACACCCCCUCACAAACACUGUGGCCUCUCUCUCACAAACGCACACACUACACCCAGCUGCGUCCCUGCUCCACUUCCUCUGAGGAUGGCCUCCAGUCUGGCAGACCACAGCCCAGAAAGAACGAGUUGGAGAGAAAGGGAGAGCAGGAAAAGAGGGAGGAAGAGGGGUAGAGAGAACAGGAGAAAGGGAGAGCAGGAAAAGAGGGAGGAAGAGGGGUAGAGAGAACGGGAGAAAGUGAGAGCAGGAAAUAGGUGGAGAUGGAAUCAGGGCCAAUGUUCUGUGAAUAAUAGGUGAGGAGAUGGAAUCAGGGACAAUAUCCCAUGAAUAAUAGUUGAGGAGAUGGAAUCAGGGACAAUAUUCUGUGAAUAAUAGGUGAGGAGAUGGAAUCAGGGACAAUAUUCUGUGAAUAAUAGGUGAGGAGAUGGAAUCAGGGACAAUAUUCUGUGAAAGAAAGGUGAGGAGAUGGAAUCAGGAAUAAUAUUCUGCGAACACUAGGUGAGGAGAUGGAAUCAGGGACAAUGUUCUGUGAAUAAUAGGUGGAAAUGGAAUCAGGGACAAUGUUCUGUGAAAAAUAGGUGAGGAGAUGGAAUCAGGGAGAAUUUGCCAUGAAUAAUCAGACUUCUAUCAUUAGCAUUCCCAGUUACAGGGAGGCUUUGCAACUGACCAAGACAUAGUAACUAACACACCAAGACAUAGUAACCAAGACAUAGUAACUAACACACCCAGACAUAGUAACUAACACACCAAGACAUAGCAACCAAGACGUAGUAACUAACACACCAAGACGUAGUAACCAAGACAUAGCAACCAAGACGUAGUAACCAACACACAAAGGCAUAGUAACCAACACACCAAGACAUGGUAACCAACACACCAAGACAUAAUAAUCAACACACCAAGACAUAGCAACCAAGACGUAGUAACCAACACACCAAGACGUAGUAACCAAGACAUGGUAACCAACACACCAAGACAUGGUAAACAACACACCAAGUCAUAGUAACCAACACACCAAGACGUAGUAACCAACACACCAAGACGUAGUCACCAACACACCAAGACAUAGUAACCAACACACCAAGACGUAGUCACCAACACACCAAGACGUAGUCACCAAC
ensembl:lncRNA